UGGAUGGCAAACCUUCGAGAUUUUUGAGUGU
rnacentral:piRNA from 1 species